GUCAAGAUCUAUCUGCCCUGAAAUUUUCAGAUGAAUCAGACAACCUGUUGUUGGGUUGCUGCCCCUGAAUUGGUAAUUUUAAGGAAAUUUUGCUGUUUUUGGUUAUUAUCUUGAAUAUUAUUAUAGAUAGAGAUAAACUGUAAACCGGAAUAAUGUUCAGCAAAGUAAGAUUAACAAAUAAGUCAACAUGACGGAAAUGGUCAGUUGACCCCUUUAGGAGUUAUUGCCCUUUAUAGUCAAUUUUUAACCAUUGUUCGUAAAUCUUAGUAAUCUUUUACAAAAAUCUUCUCCUCUGAAACUACUGGGCCAAAUACUUCCAAACUUUAACUGAAUGUUCCUUAGGGUAUCUAGUUUGUAAAUUGUAUCCGAAGUUGUGAUCUAUCAACAAACAUGGUCGCCAUUGCUAAAAAUAGAACAUAGGGGUCAAAUGCAGUUUUUGGCUUAUAACUCAAAAACCAAAGCGUUUAGAGCAAAUCUGACAUGGAUAAUAUUGUUUAUCAGGUCAAGAUCUAUCUGCCCUGAAAUUUUCAGAUGAAUCAGACAACCUGUUGUUGGGUUACUGCCCCUGAAUUGGUAAUUUUAAAGAAAUUUUGCUGUUUUUGGUUAUUAUCUUGAAUAUUAUUAUAGAUAGAGAUAAACUGUAAACAGCAAUAAUGUUCAGCAAAGUAAGAUUUACAAAUAAGUCAACAUGACGGAAAUGGUCAGUUGACCCCUUUAGGAGUUAUUGCCCUUUAUAGUCAAUUUUUAACCAUUUUUCGUAAAUCUUAGUAAUCUUUUACAAAAAUCUUCUCCUCUGAAACUUCUGGGCCAAAUACUUCCAAACUUUAACUGAAUGUUCCUUAGGGUAUCUAGUUUGUAAAUUGUAUCCGAAGUUAUGAUCUAUCAACAAACAUGGUCGCCAUUGCUAAAAAUAGAACAUAGGGGUCAAAUGCAGUUUUUGGCUUAUAACUCAAAAACCAAAGCAUUUAGAGCAAAUCUGACGUUGGGUAAUAUUGUUUAUCAGGUCAAGAUCUAUCUGCCCUGAAAUUUUCAGAUGAAUCAGACAACCUGUUGUUGGGUUGCUGCCCCUGAAUUGAUAAUUUUAAGGAAAUUUUGCUGUUUUUGUUUAUUUUAUCUUGAAUAUAAUUAUAGAUAGAAAUAAACUGUAAAACAGCAAUAAUGUUCAGCAAAGUAAGAUCUUCAAUUAAGUCAAUUUGACCAAAAUUGUCAAUUGACCCC
rnacentral:lncRNA from 1 species